GGGUUGUGAGGUUAAGCGACCAAGCGUACACGGUGGAUGCCCUGGCAGUCAGAGGCGAUGAAGGACGUGCUAAUCUGCGAAAAGCGCCGGUAAGGUGAUAUGAACCGUUAUAACCGGCGAUGUCCGAAUGGGGAAACCCAGUGUGACUCGUCACACUAUCAUUAACUGAAUCCAUAGGUUAAUGAGGCGAACCGGGGGAACUGAAACAUCUAAGUACCCCGAGGAAAAGAAAUCAACCGAGAUUCCCCCAGUAGCGGCGAGCGAACGGGGAGGAGCCCAGAGCCUGAAUCAGUAUGUGUGUUAGUGGAAGCGUCUGGAAAGGCGCGCGAUACAGGGUGACAGCCCCGUACACAAAAGCGCAUGUGCUGUGAGCUCGAUGAGUAGGGCGGGACACGUGGUAUCCUGUCUGAAUAUGGGGGGACCAUCCUCCAAGGCUAAAUACUCCUGACUGACCGAUAGUGAACCAGUACCGUGAGGGAAAGGCGAAAAGAACCCCGGCGAGGGGAGUGAAAAAGAACCUGAAACCGUGUACGUACAAGCAGUGGGAGCCCCACCACUAAGCCAGUGGUGAACUCCACAUACGCAUCCUUUGCGGAAGAUACGAUUAACGGAGCGAAAGCGACGUUCAACCGCAAAAGAAGCAGAGGGGGCUUAGUGGUGGGGUGACUGCGUACCUUUUGUAUAAUGGGUCAGCGACUUAUAUUCUGUAGCAAGGUUAACCGUAUAGGGGAGCCGGAGGGAAACCGAGUCUUAACCGGGCGUUAAGUUGCAGGGUAUAGACCCGAAACCCGGUGAUCUAGCCAUGGGCAGGUUGAAGGUUGGGUAACACUAACUGGAGGACCGAACCGACUAAUGUUGAAAAAUUAGCGGAUGACCUGUGGCUGGGGGUGAAAGGCCAAUCAAACCGGGAGAUAGCUGGUUCUCCCCGAAAGCUAUUUAGGUAGCGCCUCGUGAACUCAUCUCCGGGGGUAGAGCACUGUUUCGGCCAGGGGGCCAUCCCGGCUUACCAACCCGAUGCAAACUGCGAAUACCGGAGAAUGUUAUCACGGGAGACACACGGCGGGUGCUAACGUCCGUCGUGAAGAGGGAAACAACCCAGACCGCCAGCUAAGGUCCCAAAGUCAUGGUUAAGUGGGAAACGAUGUGGGAAGGCCCAGACAGCCAGGAUGUUGGCUUAGAAGCAGCCAUCAUUUAAAGAAAGCGUAAUAGCUCACUGGUCGAGUCGGCCUGCGCGGAAGAUGUAACGGGGCUAAACCAUGCACCGAAGCUGCGGCAGCGAACGUAUCACUUAAAGCGAUUCAGCGGAUGACGAUUGACGGAGCGAAGCGACGUCAAAGCGUUUUACAACGUCGAGUCGGUUUAAGGAUACGUUCGUUGGGUAGGGGAGCGUUCUGUAAGCCUGCGAAGGUGGCCUGUGAGGGUUGCUGGAGGUAUCAGAAGUGCGAAUGCUGACAUAAGUAACGAUAAUGCGGGUGAAAAACCCGCACGCCGGAAGACCAAGGGUUCCUGUCCAACGUUAAUCGGGGCAGGGUGAGUCGACCCCUAAGGCGAGGCCGAA
rnacentral:rRNA from 1 species